rnacentral:rRNA from 1 species
AUUGAACGCUGGCGGCAGGCCUAACACAUGCAAGUCGAGCGGAGCGGCGGACGGGUGCUUACUGCCUAGGGAUCUGCCUGGUAGUGAGGGAUAACGUCCGGAAACGGGCGCUUAUACCGCAUACUAUCAGAUGAGCCUCGGUCGGAUUAGCUAGUUGGUGGGGUAAAGGCCUACCAAGGCGACGAUCCGUAACUGGUCUGAGAGGAUGAUCAGCCACACUGGAACGGAGACACGGUCCAGACUCCUACGGGAGGCAGCAGUGGGGAAUAUUGGACAAUGGGCGAAAGCCUGAUCCAGCCAUGCCGCGUGUGUGAAGAAGGUUUUCGGAUUGUAAAGCACUUUAAGUAGGGAGGCGUUACCAACAGAAUAAGCACCGGCUAACUUCGUGCCAGCAGCCGCGGUAAUUC